AUCUUCCGCAAUGGGCGAAAGCCUGACGGAGCAACGCCGCGUGAGUGAUGAAGGGUUUCGGCUCGUAAAACUCUGUCAUUAGGGAAGAACAAAUGUGUAAGUAACUGUGCACAUCUUGACGGUACCUAAUCAGAAAGCCACGGCUAACUACGCGACAGCAGCCGCGGUAAUACGUAGGUGGCAAGCGUUAUCCGCAAGUAGUGGGCGUAAAGCGAGCGUAGGCGGUUUCUUAAGUCUGAUGUGAAAGCCCACGGCUCAACCGUGGAGGGACAUUGGAAACUGGGAAACUUGAGUGCAGAAGAGGAAAGUGGAAUUCCAUGUGUAGCGGUGAAAUGCGCAGAGAUAUGGAGGAACACCAGUGGCGAAGGCGACUUUCUGGUCUGUAACUGACGCUGAUGUGCGAAAGCGUGGGGAUCAAACA
rnacentral:rRNA from 1 species